AGCUGGCUCCCAGAUUCCAGGCAAAUUUGUCAAGCCCUGUGUUAACUAAGCUAACAAUAAUUAAAAUUAAAAAGUCUUGGAAAAAGCCGUUGAUGCAGUCAUUCAGAUGUGCAUUGCAGUCUAACAAUAACGGCUGCUGAGUGCGGAGUUAUCAUGUGCCUCCUCUUCUACCGUUCUUGCCAUUGUUGUAAGCAAGUGCUUUGAGUCAUUUAUAGUAUGGGGGUUUGGAACAAGAGUAAACUAAACGGACAGUUAAUUUUACUAAAAAUAACCGCACUCGAUAACAGCAGUCUUCAUUUUACUUUGUGUGACAAAUGCUCCUUACCAUGGACAUUUGCCACGAAUUCCUGGAGGAGUGUGGAAGCAAGCCUCCUGCCCACAGACUAUGGGCCAUAUACCUUGUGCCAAAUACUUUUCCCUUCUGUUCACAAGAACUGUCCCUGGUUUGUUUUAUAUAGUUCCCAAACAGAAACACUUUCCCUGCGUUCGGUAGACAAAUCUACCGAACACCGACCACCCCCCUGGCUCAUUAACUACAAAUAAACCACAGACUUAAGUGCUCUCUCUUUGUGGCUUGUCGCACGAAUGCAGGCAGCGGGACCUGGUCUUCGAUUGUCUGGAACUACAAGUUGGACACUCGACCCCACG